rnacentral:rRNA from 1 species
CCUACGGGGUGCUGCAGUGGGGAAUAUUGGACAAUGGGCGAAAGCCUGAUCCAGCCAUGCCGCGUGUGUGAAGAAGGCCUUCGGGUUGUAAAGCACUUUCAGUGGGGAAGAAAGCCUUGGGGCUAAUACCCUCGAGGAAGGACAUCACCCACAGAAGAAGCACCGGCUAACUCCGUGCCAGCAGCCGCGGUAAUACGGAGGGUGCGAGCGUUAAUCGGAAUUACUGGGCGUAAAGCGCGCGUAGGCGGUCUGAUAAGCCGGUUGUGAAAGCCCCGGGCUCAACCUGGGAACGGCAUCCGGAACUGUCAGGCUAGAGUGCAGGAGGGGAAGGUAGAAUUCCCGGUGUAGCGGUGAAAUGCGUAGAGAUCGGGAGGAAUACCAGUGGCGAAGGCGGCCUUCUGGACUGACACUGACGCUGAGGUGCGAAAGCGUGGGUAGCAAACAGGAUUAGAUACCCUAGUAGUC